AAUAAGUGCAGUUUUGUACUAUUUAUCUCCAACGUUUGACCGUUCAUCUUAUUUAAAAUUUUUUUUAUGUUUACUAUUUUUAUUGUUAUUAGAUCAUAAAACAUGAAUAGUAUUUUAUGCAUGGCUUAUUUUUUUUAACUUUUUUUCAAAUAAGACAUAUGGUCAAACGUUGAACACAAAAACCCACAAGUGCACUUAAA
rfam:Oryza barthii chromosome 4, whole genome shotgun sequence.